GGACAACCUGCCCUCGAGGUGGGAGGAUAACCCCGGGAAAACUAGGGCUAAUCCCCCAUAGGGGGAUGGGGUACUGGGAAUGUCCCAUCUCCGAAAGCGCUUAGCGCCCGAGGAUGGGUCUGCGGCGGAUUAGGUUGUUGGUGGGGUAACGGCCCACCAAGCCGAAGAUCCGUACGGGCCAUGAGAGUGGGAGCCCGGAGAUGGACCCUGAGACACGGGUCCAGGCCCUACGGGGCGCAGCAGGCGCGAAACCUCCGCAAUGCGGGAAACCGCGACGGGGUCAGCCGGAGUGCUCGCGCAUCGCGCGGGCUGUCGGGGUGCCUAAAAAGCACCCCAUAGCAAGGGCCGGGCAAGGCCGGUGGCAGCCGCCGCGGUAAUACCGGCGGCCCGAGUGGCGGCCACUUUUAUUGGGCCUAAAGCGUCCGUAGCCGGGCUGGUAAGUCCUCCGGGAAAUCUGGUCGCUUAACGAUCAGACUGCCGGAGGAUACUGCCAGCCUAGGGACCGGGAGAGGCCGAGGGUAUUCCCGGGGUAGGGGUGAAAUCCUGUAAUCCCGGGAGGACCACCUGUGGCGAAGGCGCCCGGCUGGAACGGGUCCGACGGUGAGGGACGAAGGCCAGGGGAGCGAACCGGAUUAGAUACCCGGGUAGUCCUGGCUGUAAACGAUGCGGACUAGGUGUCACCGAAGCUACGAGCUUCGGUGGUGCCGGAGGGAAGCCGUUA
rnacentral:rRNA from 1 species